GCCGGUGUGGCGGAAUGGCAGACGCGACGGACUCAAAAUCCGUUUUCUGAGAGGAAGUGGGGGUUCGAGUCCCUUCACCGGCAUCA
rnacentral:tRNA from 1 species